rnacentral:misc_RNA from 1 species
AUGAUUAUUAUAAAUAAUGUUGCCCUUUUAUUGUGGAUAGAAAAUGUAGAAGCUAUUCUCUCUGAUUCAGUUUCUGUAAUCUAGAUUAUUCUUAAAGCCCUCGAAGGGCCUCUCUGAAAAAUUUAUGAAGUCUGUGUUCAUGUUGCAAACUUCUUUUUCUUGUUCAGAGGAUUUGUGGAGUAAAUUUAUUUUUUUAUGUUAUUUGGUUUUAACCAACUGUUAUUCCUGUUCUGAUGGUAUAUGCUGUAAAUUG